UACGUAGGGUGCGAGCGUUGUCCGGAAUUAUUGGGCGUAAAGGGCUCGUAGGCGGUUUGUCGCGUCGGGAGUGAAAACACCGGGCUUAACUCGGUGCUUGCUUUCGAUACGGGCAGACUAGAGGCAUGCAGGGGAGAACGGAAUUCCUGGUGUAGCGGUGAAAUGCGCAGAUAUCAGGAGGGACACCGGUGGCGAAGGCGGCAUCCUGGACCAAUUCUGACGCUGAGUGAGCGAAAGCCAGGGGAGCAAACGGG
rnacentral:rRNA from 1 species